rnacentral:lncRNA from 1 species
CACUGGAAAAACCAUAGCCUUGACUAGACACACCUUUGUUGGCAAAGUAAGGCCUCUGCUUUUUAAUAUGCUGUCUAGGUUGGUCAUAACUUUCUAGGGUAGUGUAACCUAAAUCCUUGGGACAGAACCUCCUACACUUGGGACCCUUCUGGGCUUCAUCUGUUCAUCUAUAGCCUUUAUUAUAUGAUAAACCAGUGAACACAGUUCCCUUUGCUGUUCUAGCAAAGCUUCAAACCUGAGAUGGUGAUUGUGGGACACUGAUUUAUACCAGCCAGUAAAAAUGUUGUAUCUUUUUGCCUUUUCAUGCUGUUCAUGUGGUUCUCCAGGCAUGAACGCUGGCGUGGUUUGCCAUUGCCUUCUCCAAUGGACCACGUUUUACUUAGACUGGAGGCUCCGUUGCUCUUGAUAAACCACAACUUCCCCCAAUUUAGCACCAAGACACUUGGCUAUCCCAGUUCUGGAGGCCAUGGAGCUGACAGAGACUCGGUAGCCAGUGCGGCCGGGUGUUCAUGGCCUGGCAGGCAGCAGGGCAGGCCUGGGGGGCUUGGAAAGCAGAGGACACGGAGAGCAGGGGCCCUCAGCAGCAGCUUCUUGGCCAUCAUCUGGCCCAGCGGCACAGUACAGCUGGCCACGUGGGGCUGCACCCGGGAGUGGUUUUCAUGGAGGCGGCCACGAGGCCUGGCUAGCAAAGGCUUCAAGAAGACCGGCACCGAGGGAGAAGGCGCCAGGACCCUCACCCUCCUUGUUCCAAAGGUCACUAAGGAUCUGGCACAGGAACCUGUGCCGCAACCACCUCAAAGUUCCCUAUAG